rnacentral:lncRNA from 1 species
UUUUUCCUGAAGGUUCUAGGGGAGAAUCCAUUUUCUUGUACUUUCCAGCUUCUAGAGGGUCUAGAGGACACCCAUUCCUUGACUCAUGGCCCCCUGACUGUAUCUUCAAAGCAGAAGCUAGGUUCAUCUCCUGACAGGCUGAAUCAGAAAGACUCCAGAUUCGGGGACUCCAAGCACAGCCGGACUAUGAGGUAUCAUGCUGAGGCAGUUUUGCUUUCCAGGCUGCAGAAAGUAACAAAGAAUCUAUAGAAAGAAAUAAUUGUCAUUAACCGUGCAUUUUUAAUGAGGAUCUUGGCAGCAGUUUAAAAGGUGGAAUGGGGAAGAAUUGCACGUAGGGAAACAUGAGAGUAAUUUGGGUGCCAGAGGAAAAUGAUGAUCUGAUCAAGGACUGGAAGCAGCAAAGAAGGAAUCAUCUGAGGAACACUGUGGAAGUAAAUCCAUGAGACUUUCUGACACAUUAGCUCGGGCUGAGGAGAGGGAAGGAGAGUGAGUGUAAAACACAAUCGGAGGUCUUCAGGUUGGAGAGAAGGUGGAGACCAUGAAUAAAAUUGGUGCUGUUUCAUGAGGAAAAGUGAAUUUGUAAGAGAAGAG